rnacentral:rRNA from 1 species
AUGUCGUCGUCGUCGCUGUCGCCGGGAGGUGGGAGGCUGUCGGGCUCGGACGGCGACUCGGGGGCGACGUUCUCGGCCGGGGACAACCGGCGGGAGAAGAGGCGGCUGUCGAACCGGGAGUCGGCGCGGCGGUCGCGGCUGCGGAAGCAGCAGCACCUGGACGAGCUGGUGCAGGAGGUGGCGCGGCUCAAGGCCGAGAACGCGCGCGUGCUGGCGCGCGCCAACGACAUCACCGGGCAGUUCGUGCGCGUGGACCAGGAGAACACCGUGCUCCGGGCGCGCGCCGCCGAGCUCGGCGACCGGCUGCGCUCCGUCAACCAGGUGCUCCGCGUCGUCGAGGAGUUCAGCGGCGUCGCCAUGGACAUCCAGGAGGAGUGCCCGCCCGACGACCCCCUGCUCCGGCCGUGGCAGAUCCCGUACCCUGCCACCGCCAUGCCCAUCGCCGCCACCGCCACGCACAUGCUCCAGUACUGA